rnacentral:rRNA from 1 species
GGGGGAAUUUUCCCCAAUGGGCGAAACCCUGACGGAGCAAUACCGCGUGAGGGANGAAGGCCUAUGGGUUUUAAACCUCUUUUUUCAGGGAGGAACCAAAUGACGUGUACCUGAAGAAUAAGCAUCGGCUAACUCCGUGCCAGCAGCCGCGGUAAGACGGAGGAUGCAAGUGUUAUCCGGAAUCACUGGGCGUAAAGCGUCCGUAGGUGGUUUAAUAAGUCAACUGUUAAAUCUUGAGGCUUAACCUCAAAAUCGCAGUCGAAACUNUUUGACUAGAGUAUAGUAGGGGUAAAGGGAAUUUCCAGUGGAGCGGUGAAAUGCGUAGAUAUUGGAAAGAACACCGAUGGCGAAGGCACUUUACCUGGGCUAUUACUGACACUCAGAGACGAAAGCUAGGGUAGCAAAUGGGAUUAGAUACCCCAGUAGUCCUAGCUGUAAACAAUGGAUACUUGAUGUUGAACAGAUCGACCUGUGCAGUAUCAAAGCUAACGCG